rnacentral:lncRNA from 1 species
AUGGUUGUCCUGCUGACCCAUGAAAAUAUUGUGGAAACACUUGAUUCCCCAGAAACAAGUGUAGAUUUACAGUUUAGCAACAUAAAUGUGCACCUGCAUCAUAGAAGACCAAGAAGUAUGGUUCUUCAAAUGUCAAUGAGAAUAGAUGAUGUUUUUGAUACCAAUCUAAACAACCCAGAUAAUGAGAAGUUCAAACUCUUUAAACACAUACAAAUAAAAAUAAUUUCUGAAAUGGAUUUAUUGCUUUGUAUUGUUCAGGAAACAAAUUAAUAUCCACAACCAAGACACACACUCUCUCUCUCUGUCUCUCUCUCUCUCUCUCUAUUAUUGCUGUAUUAUUAUUAUUAAUUGUUCUAUAAGUUGCUUUCUGUUUUCUUUGUUUGUUUGUUUUUCAGUUCUUCAAAUGUCAAUGAGAAUAGAUGAUGUUUUUGAUACCAAUCUAAACAACCCAGAUAAUGAGAAGUUCAAACUCUAUGCCAGUAAAAUUGAGUUAGCUGUGAGUAGUUUCAUAUUUUGUGAAUAAAAUGUACUGAUUGUUUUUUGCUUAAAAAAAAGAUACUGUGCAAAUGAUACAAGGUUUGUAAUACAGAUUGUAUCUUUCCAGUACUUUUUUGACAAAUAUGUUUAUUUAUUUUACCUAAUCUUUCUAUUUCUUGUUAAUACACCUUUACAGUGUUGGCCAGAAUAGAGCCUUUUCCUGAUUUUCAUUAAAAAAAAUUUUUU